rnacentral:lncRNA from 1 species
AUGAGGUCUGCUGAUGGCGACACCGGCCCCGGGGAGGAAAGAGAUAAGAAGGAGAAAUGGAAGGCAGACUACAUCUACAUAACAAGAAUUGCCCUAGAAUUAAUCCAGGCAGUGCACCAGCGCUGGUCUGGAGGAGGGGGCUGUCUGGUCCCUCAGUAUCUAUCCCGCUCCAGUGGAUUCGCAGUUACCCUGAGCGGAGGGGCGUGCUUUGGUGUAGGCUGGUCCCGCCUCCACUGUGGGCCCCGCCUUGGUGGUGGUGGUGGGGAGAAAAAUGGCGACCCCCCCAGUCUCUUCUCCAGGAUCCGGUGGACUCUGUUCCAGCCGUCCUCACUGUGCUGUGGGUGCAGUUGGGGUGGUCUGUCUCACUCUGCUGACUCCCGCAUCCUGGAGCUUCCCUGGGAUUCAAACUCCCACUCCGUGUUCCUCCCCCCGUACUGGGGAAGCACAGCUCCGGGCCACCUGAUAGGUGGUCCCCAGGGAGGGGAUCGCUUUCUCCUACUGCCGACUGCGCCCCUGACUAGCCACCCAGCCCCGAGCUGGCUCCCCUCCUGCCCAGGUGUGCAAACAGGGCAGCCGACCCCAGUCUGGAGAAAGCCCCACAGUUAGAGAUUGGAUCUCUCUCUGUCCUGGUCCGAGGUUUUUCUCUUGUCCAGAUACAAUCCUAGGCUUCCCCAACAGCUCUUUCUCUUCCCUUUGUCUCUCUGCAGAAGGGGAUCCCUUCCCUACAUUCGUUUUCUCUCUCCCAGUUCACAAUCAUGCACCAGUGGCCAGUCACGUUGUCCCGGUGUAUCCCUGGUAGCGAUUCAGUCUCUUUUCCUCCCAGAUUCUUGGGGUUCAAAGUCCUUUGGCUUCAACCUUCUUUGUUUAAGAGACACGGGAAGUUCAGACACCCCUACUUCUCUGCCGUGUUGGCCCCUCCUCUUCUGUUUCUGACUUCUAGCGCUGAUGAGAAGUCAUCUGUUACUCCAACUCAUAUUCUUUUGAAAGUAAUUUGUCCUUUUACUCUGGUUGCUUGUAGGAUUUUGUCUUUUUCUGUAGUUUGCUUUAAAUUCCCAAGGUUCUAUCUGGUGUGAAUUUCUUUUUAUGUAUCGUGCUUGGGAUUUACCGAACCUUAAAUCUGUGGAUUAGUGCUUUUAUCGAUUUUGGAAAAUUUUCAACUAUUGUUUGCUCAACUCUGUCCUGUGUGUUCUCACUCUUCUCGCCUGUGGCCUUAGAUCAAAUGGACAGUAGACCUUCUUACUAUUUCCUCCUCAUUGCUUGACUUAUUUAUUAUGUUUUGUGUAUUUUUUUCCAUGCUGAAUUAUGGGUUAUUUCUUCUGGUUUAUCUGCCAGUCCACUAACUUUCUCUUCUGUGAUGACCAGUCUGCUGUGAAAGAUGACCACUGCAGCUUUCAUUCCAAUUAUUGUAUUUUUCAUCUUUAGCAUCAGUAUGAUUAUUUUGUCAAAUGUUAC